rnacentral:tRNA from 2 species
GCCGAAGUGGCGGAAUUGGUAGACGCGCCAUCUUGAGGGGGUGGUGUCUUUUUGAUGUGCGGGUUCGAGUCCCGCCUUCGGCA